rnacentral:rRNA from 1 species
AUUGAACGCUGGCGGCAUGCCUUACACAUGCAAGUCGAACGGCAGCACGGGUGCUUGCACCUGGUGGCGAGUGGCGAACGGGUGAGUAAUACAUCGGAACAUGUCCUGUAGUGGGGGAUAGCCCGGCGAAAGCCGGAUUAAUACCGCAUACGAUCUACGGAUGAAAGCGGGGGACCUUCGGGCCUCGCGCUAUAGGGUUGGCCGAUGGCUGAUUAGCUAGUUGGUGGGGUAAAGGCCUACCAAGGCGACGAUCAGUAGCUGGUCUGAGAGGACGACCAGCCACACUGGGACUGAGACACGGCCCAGACUCCUACGGGAGGCAGCAGUGGGGAAUUUUGGACAAUGGGCGAAAGCCUGAUCCAGCAAUGCCGCGUGUGUGAAGAAGGCCUUCGGGUUGUAAAGCACUUUUGUCCGGAAAGAAAUCCUUGGCUCUAAUACAGUCGGGGGAUGACGGUACCGGAAGAAUAAACACCGGCUAACUACGU